UAAUACGGAGGGUGCAAGCGUUAUCCGGAUUUACUGGGUUUAAAGGGUGCGUAGGCGGGCCGAAAAGUCAGCGGUGAAAUACUCUCGCUUAACGAGGGAACUGCCGUUGAUACUGUCGGUCUUGAAUAUAGUGGAGGUGGGCGGAAUGUUACAUGUAGCGGUGAAAUGCUUAGAUAUGUAACGGAACACCUAUUGCGAAGGCAGCUCGCUACACUAUUAUUGACGCUGAGGCACGAAAGCGUGGGGAGCAAACAGGAUUAGAUACCCUGGUAGUCCACGCCCUAAACGAUGUUCACUCGAUCUCGGCGAUACACUGUCGGGGUCUAUGCGAAAGCAUUAAGUGAACCACCUGGGGAGUACGGUCGCAAGACUG
rnacentral:rRNA from 1 species